AUCCGAUUUUUCAUUCUCAUCUCUAACUAAAAAAAGAAAAGAACAGACGCACAAGCAGCAGCUCUUCUCUUCAUCUUCUCAUCCAGUGGUCGACUUGAAGAGAACGAGUGCAAGCUAAGAUAGUUCAUGUGAUCCGAUGUUUUGGCAAAAAUGCGAAUAUUUGAUCGUUUGUAUGACAUAAUUGGACACUUUUUACCACAAGGUGAGUAAUUAGAUUUUCAUAAAGUGACUUUUUUUGGUCAAGAUAAAGUAAAAUAUUCUUAUUAUUAAUUAUUUCUUUAUUUAUUAUUUGGAAUUGAGGAGUAGUUCUUAUUGUUGUAAUAUUUAAGGCUAGAUAAAAAUAUAUCGAUAUUUAAUCCUUGAAUGAAUAAUUUUAAAAAAUAAUGGAAUAUUUCUUCCAGUUUCCUGCUGAGAAGCUAGAGGGUCUAUAAUAGCUUGACGGAAAAAUAAAGUUUUGAACUUUACAAGGUUUAUCAACGAUGCGUAUGUACCAUGCUUAUUCAGAUCAUGUUAACAAUAGCAAGUAACAUAAAAAAAAUUCUUCCCUUCAAAUACACAUUCAUAUUUUGGUGUAUGUGAAGAAAUUACCAACCUCUUGAGUGGAUCUCUUUGAUAGAAAAAAGUACUUUUGCACAAGUCAUGUAUGUGUAUAUUAUAAUUGCUUGGUCUAGGACUAUAAUAAAUAUCCUUUGCUCAUAAAGUCUUAAUAUGUACCAUGCUAGAAGAUGUCUUCUUAGUGAUCUAUAUUGCCCCAGCAAAUUAAAGUAUUUAUGGACUUGGAGAACCUAUCAGGGAUUUCAUGAGCCAUGAGCCUACCUCAGAUGAAGAGGUCCUGUUCUAGCAAAGAACUAAAACUAUAGAGUUAGUAUCGGUAUAGUAAAAGUGUUUCUUUUUUAUCCAUGGAAUGAUAACUAAGAAGGCGUAAUUGACUAACCAAAUAGGUUUCUUCUUUAUUAAUUUUUAUAUGGGCUUAGAUACCAAGUCACUAAAUUUAUAAGCAGCAACCUGCUACUCUGCUUCAACACUUUCUUAAUAUCAACAAGUAAGCAUGCUAAAACAAUAUUAUCCUUAGUUUCCAUUUGAAUGAGAAGCUCACCAUAUUGCCACCAGUAUUUAUUAUAAUAAUAUAUAUGCAUGGAUCUUUUACAAAUUAGUUCUUGAAGCUUCCAGAAUAAGGCUCCCGCCCCAUUAGAUGUCCUAUGCCAAAUUUUGCAGCAUGACUUAUGGUGGUUGAUUUGUAGUUCUUAGCUAUCUAUUUGGUUAUUUUUGCCGUUAUCGUUUGUUCAUUUAUGUGAAGUAACUACUAAACUAAAUACCAUAUUCUUUUUGGAACAUGUAUCUCUUGAAACGUAUGCUCCUCAAGUCCAUCAUUUUGUACCGUAAAUUUCUAAAAAAAGUUAUACGGUUAACUUUCUAUUUGAAAGUCAGCAAAAGACAAAUAUGUAAUACUAGAAUGAAUUGCGCGGGUGGUUAGAUGUUUGAUUGAAAGAGUUUAAACAUUUAAUGAAGUUAAUAGAAGGCUUGACGAUAUUUAAUAUACUCGAGCAUAGAAAUUAAAUUUUUUUGCAAAGCUUAAUUACUUCCCUCGAUUUAUAGCAAGGCACAAGUUUUUAGCUCAAAAGAAUACAUGUCUCAAAAGAUAUUAAAGCUCCACUCUUUUCUCAAGUUUUUGCUACAGUUCGGUUUUGGUCUAAUUGCAGUUUUGCUGCAAUUUUUUUUCUUUUGCAGUUUUGUGUUAAGUAUUUGCUGCAGUUUUGGUCUAGCUAUGAAGUAAUUUAACUGCAAUAUUUGUCCAGUUUUGAUGAUGUUUUUUAUGGAAUGGGUCUUGAAGAUAUGAAUUAAGGUUUUUUAAAAGGUAGAAGAAGACCGUCCAUCAAGGGAGAGCUUUUUUCAUGUUGGAUAGCCACGUCAUUAAUUAUGUUAUAGUUAAAUAUGUGUGGCAUAUGAUGUGGAGGGUCGUUAGUAGUAAAGGUAUAUGUGGGCCAAAAAUUAGACGGCAGGAGUAUAAUUGCUACUAAAAUUUAACGAGGAUAAAAGUGACAUAAUUCGAAUAGUUCAAGGGUAAAAGUCACAUGAUUGGAGUGCAGUUUCAUUUUAGGAACAUCAACGUUGGUGGUAUUAUCCAUUGAUGUCGUAAAAUAGAGUUCCAAGUAGCUCGAUAUGAAAUCAGCGUAUGCUAUCUUUUUUCAUUCAUUCUCAUUGCACUUCACCUAACAGUUUUUUUAAAAAAUAUAGUUUUGCUUGGAAUUUGCUUUUAAAUUUAUAUUUUAUUCCGAUGUUUUGCGUGAAAGUACAAGUAGUGGAUUGAUAUACCGUCUUUGCAUAUUUGGUAGGGACUAAUUCACUUGUCCACUUGUAGUUCUUGAUAGUUUGGUUUGCUAUACUUUUAGUUCAGUACAUGAAAUGCAUAAGGAUUAUAUGAUUCAUGUGUAUUUAUAAAUGGGAUGAAUACAUGCAUUCACAUAUGUGCUAUCUUUUAACAUAUAUGAAGUAUGUAUUAUGAACAUGCUUCUGUGAUGACUACUUUCGACUUCUUAUAUUUUUCUUUGUUUGCUGAUUAUAACUAUCGAGCGAAACUCAGAGCAAAAUUUACUUACCAUAGUUGCCGAAGAGUUAAAGUUUCUCCUCCUUCACUUCGAAUGGUAACGGAUAUGAACUAUUCAUCUUGGUACCUCUUUUUGCUCAAUCCCUCAACAUACCGUUCCCUAUAUAUUUAUGUAAUAUAUCAUUAUGAUGGUAAGGCUUAAAUCACUUCAAGCACUUCCAUGAAAUAGCCGGUUUUGGAUUGCGUAUGUGUUUUAGUUUAUUUAUUUCAUUGUCUUUAUGUUGUAGUUAUGCACAUGCUUCAAUUGGUUCUGACAUGCCCGCAGAAAGAGUUACUUUGUACUUUACGUUGUCUUCAUUUUUUUUUUGUUCAAACUAUUUAUUUAAUUGUUUCUCCUGAUUUAAGCAAAUUAGUUUGAUUCCAAUGAUAACCUUGAUGUGUUAUGUUCAAUAAUAUGUUUUGUUAUAAUUUUAAUUGUGUGCGUUCAGUUUCUUGGUUGUCAUAGAAAUUUCAUUUAUUCAGGGACUAUAUUAUAUCUCUAAGAUACCCUUUCAUUGAUGGAUGAUUGGUGCAUUUCUUCUUUGAAGCGACUGAUAAAGAAGUUACUUACUUUUACAGGAGACUUCUGAUGUUUUUAUCAUACUACAAAUCCAUAGAUUUUCUUAACUUGUGACAUACUUAACCUGCCCAACCAGUUGAAGUAAGUAAAGACACUUACUAAGACCAAGUAACAAUCAAAGCUUAUAAUAUGGACAAAGAUGUAUAAAUGAAUUGAAUCGCCUAUUUAUUUUGACUUAUCAAUGGUAACUCAGUCAUGCAAAGUCAUGAACAAGUAGUGCCUUUGGUCUAUUAUUUUGUAUAGUUUAUCUUUGCGAAUUUAAUAUCAUUGAGGGAGUGAGAUUUA